AGAAAAAAAUGAGUGUAUUAUUUCAAACAUUGAUAUUAAAUAAUUAAAAUAUCUCACUUUGUUUCACAUAAAAUAAAUGUGAUUUUUAUCGAGUGUACACUUCCCCUUUAAUUAUUUUUAAAAGUUGUUUGCUGUUUGGACUCGAAUGAGGUGUCACAAGAUACGAUUUUAAACCUUUUGCAUGACCAGUAUUUAUUGUAAUGUGUGCUUGGUGAUGAAUCUCAAGAAAUUGCCCGGUUUAACCCCUAUCCCACGAUAGUAUUGGUAAUGCUAAUCACUAAACUUUCUUUUGCCAUUUGGAUUUACAACCGAAAAUGCUUCCCAUGAAUGCGGAAGUGAAGGAUGAUUUGCUGAUUUGCUUUUAAGCAUUUAUUGUAUUUUAAAACAUAAUUUUAAAACCCGAAUCAUAAUGGAAGUACCGGCAUUUCUGUAUAUACGUUGCCUAUUAUUAAAAUUACAUGAAUUGAAAA